AUUGAACGCUGGCGGCAAGCCUAACACAUGCAAGUCGAACGAGUGGCGGACGGGUGCGUAAUGUCUGGGAAACUGCCUGAUGGAGGGGGAUAACUACUGGAAACGGUAGCUAAUCCCGCAUACCAUCGGAUGUUCCCAGAUGGGAUUAGCUAGUCGGGGGGGUAAAGGAUCACCUAGGCGACGAUCCCUAGCUGGUCUGAGAGGAUGACCAGCCACACUGGAACUGAGACACGGUCCAGACUCCUACGGGAGGCAGCAGUGGGGAAUAUUGCACAAUGGGCGCAAGCCUGAUGCAGCCAUGCCGCGUGUAUGAAGAAGGCCUUCGGGUUGUAAAGUACUUUCAGCGGGGAGGCGUUACCCGCAGAAGAAGCACCGGCUAACUCCGUGCCAGCAGCCGCGGUAAUUC
rnacentral:rRNA from 1 species